GAUGAACGCUGGCGGCGUGCCUAACACAUGCAAGUCGAGCGGAGACAGUGAGUAGCUUGCUAUGAGCCGUUUUAGCGGCGGACGGGUGAGUAACGCGUGAGCAACCUUUCCCAGACAGGGGAAUAACACACCGAAAGGUGUACUAAUACCGCAUAAGACCACGGGAUCACAUGGUUCUGGGGUAAAAGAUUUAUCGGUUUGGGGUGGGCUCGCGUCCGAUUAGGUAGUUGGUGAGGUAACGGCCCACCAAGCCGACGAUCGGUAGCCGACCUGAGAGGGUGAUCGGCCACAUUGGGACUGAGACACGGCCCAAACUCCUACGGGAGGCAGCAGUGGGGAAUAUUGGGCAAUGGAGGAAACUCUGACCCAGCAACGCCGCGUGGAGGAAGAAGGUUUUCGGAUCGUAAACUCCUGUCCUUGGAGACGAGUAGAAGACGGUAUCCAAGGAGGAAGCCCCGGCUAACUACGUG
rnacentral:rRNA from 1 species